GCGCCCCCAUCGGCGAGUAGCGCAGCUUGGUAGCGCAACUGGUUUGGGACCAGUGGGUCGGAGGUUCGAAUCCUCUCUCGCCGACC
rnacentral:tRNA from 1 species